rnacentral:tRNA from 1 species
UGAUAAGAACAGGACUUUAACCUGCCUAAACGGGGCUACAACCCGCUGCUAAAACACUCAGCCAUCCUACC